AGAAGAUGACGAGUGGCGGACGGGUGAGUAAUGCUUGGGAACUUGCCUUUGCGAGGGGGAUAACAGUUGGAAACGACUGCUAAUACCGCAUAAUGUCUUCGGACCAAACGGGGCUUCGGCUCCGGCGCAAAGAGAGGCCCAAGUGAGAUUAGCUAGUUGGUAAGGUAACGGCUUACCAAGGCGACGAUCUCUAGCUGUUCUGAGAGGAAGAUCAGCCACACUGGGACUGAGACACGGCCCAGACUCCUACGGGAGGCAGCAGUGGGGAAUAUUGCACAAUGGGGGAAACCCUGAUGCAGCCAUGCCGCGUGUGUGAAGAAGGCCUUCGGGUUGUAAAGCACUUUCAGUUGUGAGGAAAAGUUAGUAGUUAAUACCUGCUAGCCGUGACGUUAACAACAGAAGAAGCACCGGCUAACUCCGUGCCAGCAGCCGCGGUAAUACGGAGGGUGCGAGCGUUAAUCGGAAUUACUGGGCGUAAAGCGCACGCAGGCGGUUUGUUAAGCUAGAUGUGAAAGCCCCGGGCUCAACCUGGGAUGGUCAUUUAGAACUGGCAGACUAGAGUCUUGGAGAGGGGAGUGGAAUUCCAGGUGUAGCGGUGAAAUGCGUAGAUAUCUGGAGGAACAUCAGUGGCGAAGGCGACUCCCUGGCCAAAGACUGACGCUCAUGUGCGAAAGUGUGGGUAGCGAACAGGAUUAGAUACCCUGGUAGUCCACACCGUAAACGCUGUCUACUAGCUGUGUGUGUCUAUUAAGGCGUGCGUAGCGAAGCUAAUCGCGCUAAGUAGACUCGCCUUGGGGGAGUACCGGCUCGCAAGGGUUAAAAACUUCAAAUGAAAUGACGGGGG
rnacentral:rRNA from 1 species